rnacentral:rRNA from 1 species
GGUGCCUUUAGGGGGCACAGAACAUAGGUGCUGCAUGGCUGUCGUCAGCUCGUGUCGUGAGAUGUCGGGUUAAGUCCUGCAACGAGCGCAACCCUCGCUGUUAGUUGCCAGCGGGUAAAGUUGGGCACUCUAACGGGACUGCCGGUGUCAAACCGGAGGAAGGUGGGGAUGACGUCAAGUCCUCAUGGCCUUUAUGUCCGGGGCUACACACGUGCUACAAUGGUCGGUACAGAGUGCUGCGAACCCGUGAGGGAGAGCCAAUCACAAAAAGCCGGCCUCAGUUCGGAUUGGAGUCUGCAACUCGACUCCCAGAAGUUGGAAUUGGUUGUAAUUGUGGAUUCACAUGCCACGGUGAAUACGUUCCCGGGCGUUGUACACACCCCCCCUCUCACCAUGGGAGUUGAGGGCUCCCCAAGUCCGUGUGCUAACUCUUACGAGAGGCACCGGCCCAAGGAGUUUUUGGUAACUGCAUGAAGUCGUAACAAGGUAACCAAGGGCGAA